UAACCUACCCUGGUAUCUGGGAUAACAUCUCGAAAGGGGUGGCUAAUACCGGAUAAGCCCACGGGAUCUUCGGAUUCCGCGGGAAAAGGUGGCCUCUAUUUAUAAGCUACUGUAUCAGGAUGGGUCCGCGUACCAUUAGCUAGUUGGUGGGGUAAUGGCCUACCAAGGCUACGAUGGUUAGCUGGUCUGAGAGGAUGAUCAGCCACACUGGAACUGAGACACGGUCCAG
rnacentral:rRNA from 1 species